UGCUUCCAUAUUUACUGUUUAGUGAGUAGGCACUUACUAUUUGUUACAACACAUUUGCAUAAAUUAAAAGUAUGAACAUGUUUGUUUAGAACAAUCGUACAGCAUAUUUUGUUUUUAUCUAACCAAGGUAUAAUACAUUUAGCAGUAAUUGCGAUUUGGCUAUAUGACUGUUUUCACUGUGUAUAUGGCCCUUUUAGUGUUUCAUUAUAAUCCUUACUACUAUGUUAAAAAGGAGUUUAAACAUUCUCCUGGCUGUGG